AAAAGUCUCUAUCGAGGUUAAAGAUACCCGUACCGCAAACCGACAAAGGUGGGUACGGAGAGUAUCCUAAGAACAGCGAGAGAAAUGUUGUUAAGGAACUCAGCAAAAUAACGCAGUAACUUCGGGAUAAGGGGAGCCACCAGCAGAUGGCCGCAGAGAAUAGGCCCAAGCGACUGUUUACCAAAAACAUAGGUUUCUGCUAAGUCGCAAGACGAUGUAUAGGAGCUGACGCCUGCCCGGUGCUGGAAGGUUAAGGGGAUCUGUUAGAGCAAUCGAAGCAGUGAACUUAAGCCCCAGUAAACGGCGGCCGUAACUAUAACGGUCCUAAGGUAGCGAAAUUCCUUGUCGGGUAAGUUCCGACCCGCACGUAAGGCGUAACGAUUUGUGCACUGUCUCAACAACAGACUCUGUGAAAUUGUAAUUCCGGUGAAGAUGCCGGAUACCUGCGACAGGACGGAAGACCCCAUGGAGCUUUACUGUAGCUUGACAUUGGGUCUUGGUACUACAUGUACAGGAUAGUUGGGAGGCUUUGAAACCAGGACGCCAGUUUUGGCGGAGCCAUCCUUGGGAUACCACCCUUGUAGUACUGUGACUCUAACCAUAGGCCAUGAAUCUGGUCUUGGGACACUGUCAGGUGGGCAGUUUGACUGGGGCGGUCGCCUCCCAAAAGG
rnacentral:rRNA from 1 species